UACGGAGGGUGCAAGCGUUGUUCGGAAUCACUGGGCGUAAAGCGCGUGUAGGCGGCUAUCUAAGUCUGAUGUGAAAGCCCUGGGCUCAACUCAGGAAGUGCAUUGGAUACUGGAUAGCUGGAGUACCGGAGAGGAGGGUGGAAUUCCUGGUGUAGCGGUGAAAUGCGUAGAUAUCAGGAGGAACACCGGUGGCGAAGGCGGCCUGCUGGGCAGUUGCUGACACUGAGGCGCGACAGCGUGGGGAGCAAACAGG
rnacentral:rRNA from 1 species